rnacentral:tRNA from 2 species
AAGAAGGUGACAGAGUGGCUAUGUGGCUGGCUUGAAACCAGUAGACGGAGGUUCAAGUCCUUCCCUUCUCG